AUGGGCGAAUUUUCCACCAUGAUUACAAUGUUCGUAACUAUCAGUGUGCUAGUUGGGCAUUCCCUUUACUGGUUGCUCAUUGACAGAUCGGCAGAAAUUAACACAUUGGAUGGCAUCCUUGAGUUUGAUUUGGAGAGGCAGAUCCUAGCUGUGAUACCGGUGCCAGUAGAUAUUGCCAAUAAUAGUCUAGCCCAGUUCCAGGUUAUGCGGGCAGAGGGUGGUGGCCUUGGUAUUCUCUCUUUGUCAAAAUUCAGCGCCCAAUUAUGGAAGAUGGAGACCGAUUCUGAUGGUGUUGCUUCAUGGAUGCUGCAAAGAACUAUCAAUCUAGUUAAACUACUUUCCACGGAUUCAGAUAUUGAGAGAGGGCCGCCCCCAAUGAUUAGGGUUUGCUGA
rnacentral:rRNA from 1 species